UACGUAUGGUGCGAACGUUGUUCGGAAUUACUGGGCAUAAAGCGCGCGUAGGCGGUUCAGCAAGUCCGAUGUGAAAUCCCUCGGCUCAACCGAGGAACUGCAUCGGAUACUACUGGACUAGAGUGCAGGAGGGGAGAGUGGAAUUCCUGGUGGAGCGGUGAAAUGCGUAGAUAUCAGGAGGAACGCCAGUGGCGAAAGCGGCUCUCUGGCCUGCAACUGACGCUGAGGCGCGAAAGCUAGGGGAGCGAACGGG
rnacentral:misc_RNA from 1 species